rnacentral:rRNA from 1 species
UACGGGGGGGAGCAAGCGUUGUUCGGAUUUACUGGGCGUAAAGGGCGCGUAGGCGGUCAGCACAAGUCAGUUGUGAAAUCUCCGGGCUUAACUCGGAAAGGUCAACUGAUACUGUGCGACUAGAGUGCAGAAGGGGCAACUGGAAUUCUCGGUGUAGCGGUGAAAUGCGUAGAUAUCGAGAGGAACACCUGCGGCGAAGGCGGGUUGCUGGGCCUGACACUGACGCUGAUGCGCGAAAGCCAGGGGAGCGAACGGG